UUCCGUGCUUGUUUCCUUGCAUCCUUUCUUCUUUGUCAUUUUUCUCUUUGUUCUUCUUUUUGGGGCUAGCGUUAUGGCUAGGACCUCUCCUUGAGGAAGUCAGUCGGAGAAUCCGAUCGAUGAUUCUGGGUCGAUCCCGGAGGUGGAGGCUUCUUCACUUUCGGGACAGAACGUCGAACGGCUCAGGGAGCAGUACGGUAUCCUGGAGCAGUUCGAACUCUUCGCCCC
rnacentral:lncRNA from 1 species